rnacentral:rRNA from 1 species
UAUUAUUUUAGAUGUAAAUUAUUUAAACUUGAGUAGUAGUAGAUAAGAUCUUGAAACUUAAAGAAUUUGGCGGUAUUUUAGUCUAUUUAGAGGAAUCUGUCCCAUAAUCGAUAAUCCGCGUUGGACCUUACUUAAUUUAAAAUAAUAUGUAUACCGCCGUUGUUGAAAAUCUUUUUAGGGUUUAGAAUUUUUCUAAUAUUUAUUAGAUAAAUUUUCAGGUCAAGGUGCAGUUUAUAAUUAAGUGGUGAUGGAUUACAAUAUUUAUAUUAUAUAUGAAUUAUUAUCUGUAAUUGGUAAUAUGAAGGUGGAUUUAAUAGUAAUAUUAUGAAGGUUGUUAAUAUGAUUUUAGCUCUAAAAUAUGCACACAUCGCCCGUCGCUCUCGUUAUGUUUAAGGUGAG